UGCCAUUGGCUGGAGCAACUGCUGGGAGGAGCAACUCCAAGAAACAGAGGGACAGAAGGGGAAAUGGGUAAAGUCCUGUUAUCACAAAGGGCUUUGAAGCAAGAAACAGGAACUUUUGGGUUGAUGAACAGGAACUUUUGUGAAGGCUUGAAAUAAAAACCACAGCAAUUAACUUCACACUACCCUGUCUGGAUUCUGUGAGAAGGCCCCAGGCAGCAUUUCCCCAAGGAGUAAGCUGGCUCUGCAGGCACCACUCUGGGUCCAGCCAAAAGAGGGCACUAUAAGGCUUUGCCCGUGCAGCAGAAUAAUUCACACUACUUAGGGGAAAUUACACUUGCUAAUUAACCACAAGGAGAAGAAUUGCUUUAUCAGCCAUUGGCAACUGCCUCAUCUUCGUCAAGAUGACAAGAAGAAAUUCGAGCAGUACAGAGCCACAAACCGCUCGAGAAAUGCAAGCUGGGCAUUGUUGCAACGGGGAAAUAGAAGGCAUAACACAGAAGUCAUGACUGUGCAACUCUUGCUCAGAUACACCCACAGUAUCCUAGAAGACAACAGUGGCUGCAAUGAGGAGCUUACACUGUGGGGCAAGAGGAGUAUGUAUCUUCCUGUCCUCACCUACAGUGGAC